rnacentral:sRNA from 1 species
AGGUUCGACUCGAGCGCCAGCGAGAGAGCGUUGCCGCAGGCAAGACCCGAAG